GACGAACGCUGGCGGCGUGCCUAAUACAUGCAAGUAGAACGCACAGUUUAUACCGUAGCUUGCUACACCAUAGACUGUGAGUUGCGAACGGGUGAGUAACGCGUAGGUAACCUGCCUGGUAGCGGGGGAUAACUAUUGGAAACGAUAGCUAAUACCGCAUCAUAUUGAUUAUUGCAUGAUAAUUGAUUGAAAGAUGCUAUUGCAUCACUACCAGAUGGACCUGCGUUGUAUUAGCUAGUAGGUGAGGUAACGGCUCACCUAGGCGACGAUACAUAGCCGACCUGGGAGGGUGAUCGGCCACACUGGGACUGAGACACGGCCCAAACUCCUACGGGAGGCAGCAGUAGGGAAUCUUCGGCAAUGGACGAAAGUCUGACCGAGCAACGCCGCGUGAGUGAAGAAGGUUUUCGGAUCGUAAAGCUCUGUUGUAAGAGAAGAACAGGUGUGAGAGUGGAAAGUUCACACUGUGACGGUAUCUUACCAGAAAGGGACGGCUAACUACGUG
rnacentral:rRNA from 1 species